UUCCUGCGGAAUAGCUCUGGGAAACUGGAAUUAAUACCGCAUACGCCCUACGGGGGAAAGAUUUAUCGGGGAAGGAUUGGCCCGCGUUGGAUUAGCUAGUUGGUGGGGUAAAGGCCUACCAAGGCGACGAUCCAUAGCUGGUCUGAGAGGAUGAUCAGCCACAUUGGGACUGAGACACGGCCCAAACUCCUACGGGAGGCAGCAGUGGGGAAUAUUGGACAAUGGGCGCAAGCCUGAUCCAGCCAUGCCGCGUGAGUGAUGAAGGCCUUAGGGUUGUAAAGCUCUUUCACCGAUGAAGAUAAUGACGGUAGUCGGAGAAGAAGCCCCGGCUAACUUCGUGCCAGCAGCCGCGGUAAUACGAAGGGGGCUAGCGUUGUUCGGAAUUACUGGGCGUAAAGCGCACGUAGGCGGAUAUUUAAGUCAGGGGUGAAAUCCCGCAGCUCAACUGCGGAACUGCCUUUGAUACUGGGUAUCUUGAGUAUGGAAGAGGUAAGUGGAAUUCCGAGUGUAGAGGUGAAAUUCGUAGAUAUUCGGAGGAACACCAGUGGCGAAGGCGGCUU
rnacentral:rRNA from 1 species